GCACGCGCCCGACGCACGACGCGCGGCUGGUGCCGGCGUCAGCGCGGCCCCGCGGGGACCCUCAGCCUCGCGACCCUCAGACCGCGCCACGCUGCCUCAGCACCGCCGGGGCCCUCCGAGCCCUCCGGUCCCCUCAGUGCCCCCAGCCCAGACCCUACUGCCCUCAGCGUCGCAGAAAGGUCGGGAAGAAUACAACCCUCUAGGACUGUAAUUUCAGUCUUAGAAAGCAGGCGUUACUUUAUUUCAGCGCUGGGUGCAGGGGGGACCACUCCUCCUAACACAUGCCCGCACCGUUUCAGAAUUCUCGUCCCCAUUAUUUACAUAUUCAAAUCUGUACACUUUAUAGCUUGAGCAUGCGUUACAAUUUGGGUAACAGUCUCAAGAGGGUCUCUGGUGGUUAUCUGGGGAAUGGCCCCUACCUUACAUUAUACAUUCAUGGCCACAAGUUCAUCUGAGGAAAUGACUUAUGAAUUGUCUCACAGUCUGCUGUCUUGGUUGUACAACUUCCUUCCUUGUUUUUGCAGGAGCAGUUAUUCCACCUAAGGAGAAAUUCUGUUGCUUCAGGGUUCCUUUCUGGGUAACAGAGUGGUUGUAUUUAUAUCCCUUGACUUUAGACCCUGUAUUGCCCCAGCAUAUAUCCACAUGAAGGCAGGUCUUUGACAUGCCAGAAUGUGUAUAAAAGGAAACAGCAAGAGAAUGGUAACUACAGAUCAGUCUUCUAAGUAACUCAGUGCAAGACAGAAGCCCGUAUCAGCUCUGAUAAGUGGUCAGUUCAUGUCACUCAUGCCUUCUUAAAUGACAUGUUAGAAAACCCAAGUCCAUAUACCAGUACUAAUACUGAUUCAUAUACAUUUCUGACCAAAAAUAAAGCACAACUGUAAAACAUA